UACGUAGGGCGCAAGCGUUUGUCCGGAAUUAUUGGGCGUAAAGAGCUCGUAGGCGGUUUGUCGCGUCUGCUGUGAAAACCUAAGGCUCAACCUUGGGCUUGCAGUGGGUACGGGCAGACUAGAGUGCGGUAGGGGUGACUGGAAUUCCUGGUGUAGCGGUGGAAUGCGCAGAUAUCAGGGAGGAACACCGAUGGCGAAGGCAGGUC
rnacentral:rRNA from 1 species